GACGAACGCUGGCGGCAUGCCUAAUACAUGCAAGUCGAACGAACCAUCCUGAAGAUUGAAGCUUGCUUCAUGAUUCAGAUCUUGGUGAGUGGCGGACGGGUGAGUAACACGUGGGUAACCUGCCCAAAAGUGGGGGAUAACAUUUGGAAACAAGUGCUAAUACCGCAUAACAACUACUUUCACAUGAUCGUAGCUUGAAAGAUGGCUCUGCUAUCGCUUUUGGAUGGACCCGCGGCGUAUUAGCUAGUUGGUGAGGUAAUAGCUCACCAAGGCAAUGAUACGUAGCCGACCUGAGAGGGUAAUCGGCCACAUUGGGACUGAGACACGGCCCAAACUCCUACGGGAGGCAGCAGUAGGGAAUCUUCCACAAUGGGCGAAAGCCUGAUGGAGCAAUGCCGCGUGAGUGAAGAAGGUUUUCGGAUCGUAAAACUCUGUUGUUGAAGAAGAACAUGCGUGAGAGUAACUGUUCACGUACUGACGGUAUUCAACC
rnacentral:rRNA from 1 species